AUUGAACGCUGGCGGCAUGCCUUACACAUGCAAGUCGAACGGCAGCACGGGAGCAAUCCUGGUGGCGAGUGGCGAACGGGUGAGUAAUAUAUCGGAACGUGCCCAGUCGUGGGGGAUAACGUAGCGAAAGCUACGCUAAUACCGCAUACGAUCUAUGGAUGAAAGCGGGGGAUCGCAAGACCUCGCGCGAUUGGAGCGGCCGAUAUCAGAUUAGGUAGUUGGUGAGGUAAAGGCUCACCAAGCCGACGAUCUGUAGCUGGUCUGAGAGGACGACCAGCCACACUGGGACUGAGACACGGACCAGACUCCUACGGGAGGCAGCAGUGAGGAAUAUUGGUCAAUGGACGCAAGUCUGAACCAGCCAUGCCGCGUGCAGGAUGACGGUCCUAUGGAUUGUAAACUGCUUUUAUACAGGAAGAAAC
rnacentral:rRNA from 1 species